GGGGAGGUGAAGGAGACGCAAGGGGAAAGCGGCGGACGCGGGGCGGCGCGCCGGCUGCGCGGGGCAGGGGAGUUCGGAGGGGAGAGCCAUGGCCCGGGCGCCCCACGAUGGAUCCAGGCUUAGGGUCCGCCACGCCCUGCGACAAGUCUGUCCCAAGACCCGGGCUGAGGACAAUGGGCAUGGAUUGAAGUCCGGGGAACCUGGCAGUCUGCAGCUUCAACAAGCGGCUUGAGAAGUAAAUAAACCAGAACUCUUCCAGAAGAUAUUUUUAUGGCUGAAACUGGCUCUCAAGUUAGAAGCAGGUAGGCCUGUGCCAUGCAGAACAGGAGCCACCAGCCACACGUGGCUGUCAAGAACUUGUAUUAUGGCGGGGCACCUGGGUGGCUCAGUUGGUUAAGCGUCUGACUUCGUUCAGGUCAUGAUCUUACAGUUUGGGAGUUUGAGCCCCACAUCGGGCUCUGUGCUGACAGCUCGGAGCCCGGAGCCUGCUUCAGAUUCUGUGUCCCCCCCCCCUCUCUCUCUGCCCCUUACCCACUCACACUCUGUCUCUGUCUCUCAAAAAUAAAUAAAGAUUAAAAAAAACCAAAAACUUGUAAUAUGGCUAGUGUGACUAAGGAACCGGUGGUGGGCUUUUUGUUGUUUUUUUAGUAAUCUCUAAUGCCUAGUGUGGGGCCUGAACUCAUGACCCCUGAGAUCAAGAGUCGUAUGCUCUUCUGACUGAGCCAGCCAGGCACCCCAGAUUUUAAUAUAAAUUUAACUGAUAAUCAUUUCAGUUAUUGAAAAAAAAUUCAGUGUGCAACUACUUGUAUGUCAAUCUAGGUUUUCAACUGUAAAUUGCAUGAAUUCUAAAUACAGGUCAAGUAUGUCCAAAGAAUAUUAGCAUUCAGAUUGAGUGUAUACUAGAUUUUGAAGACUUAGUAUGCAAAAAACAAUAAAAAAAUAUCUCAAUACGUUUUUAUACUGAUUACAGGUUGAAAUAUUUGGAAAAUGUGGUAUUAAAUAAUUUUACUCAAAUCAAUUUUCACCUUUUUGUUUUUAAUGUGGCUAAUAGAAAAUUUUAAAUUACGUGAGGCCCACAUUGUAUUUCUCCUAGUGCAGAGGUAGACUGUCGUAAAGCUAGUUAAACUUGACUUAUGUGACCGUACUUCCUGAAUAAAUUCUCUAGCUCUCCAGAGUGAGUAGCUAAAAAUUCAUUUAUAUUAAUACUCUGUAUCUCAAGAAACUGUGGACCAGUAAGCUUUGAAAAACUGGCAAAAACUUUGCAUUUUAAGAGUAAGAUUGAAGUAGUUUAAAUGACUAAGAAUUUGAAAUAAUAUUUAGGUCAUAACUGUAUUUGUAAAAAUUAGUAUCUUGGCUCUAGUCAGGCCUGACUUGAACAUUACUUGAUUGGUAUACGUAAGAUAUAUCAUUUUAGAAAUUUUGUGAAUUAUAUAUACUAAAAUAUAGUUUGGCAAAUAUGUUUUUAAAAAAAAAAGCUUUUAUCUUCUCUCAAACCUGAAGAAUCCCAUUAUUUUAACCUCCAAAAAAACGUUCUUGACUCAGGUGGAAAUCAAACAAAGAUGUCUACAGAGAGAAAAUAAGUAACUGAUGUAAUGAUCCUGUUAAUUUUAGGGUAGAUUACCCCUACGCUCCACCAGCAUUAUGUUAACUUAGAUUAGUGCCCAUUUUCUUCUCUCCAAAAUCUGUUAUCAGUUUACUUAAGAGAAAGCAAUCAAAGUCUCCAAUAAAGUACACUGGGCUUGAAAACCUAACUCAAACAUAACUUCAACUUUUGACAAUUAUCUAAAACUGUACAACAAUUACAGAUUGGCUACUAUGGUUUGGAGGCUCAAAUUAUUUUUAAAAGUAGAAGAUAUUUACUUUUUAAAAUGAUGUGUCCAUUUUAUGAGAUUUAACCUACUUUGCAAUAAAAAUAGAUUAUAAGGUCCCAUCUUCAGAAAGUUAUCAGACAUAAUACACAGAUCAUUUUCAGGAUCAAUUAGAAUUCAGGAGAGUAUAUUUGAUACUUAAAAUACACUGAAUAGAAUUUUAUAUUCCAGGAUAACUGAGAAAGCUUUAACUUCAUCAGAAAGAACAAUUAUCACUGCUGACAAAAAUUUGUAAUUUAUGGGUUGAAUGUCUUGAUCCGUUUCACUCUUUAAUUAGACUUUUAAAUUAUAUUUUCAAUAACCUUCUUUUAAAAAAAUAUGUAAACCCCCUCAAAAAUAUGUAAAUCCAUGUUUCUCAGAAAAAUUGAGUUCAGAAUUUUUUAAAUAAUCCUGUACUUUUUGGUUUUCUUGUUAUAUUCAUUUUGGUUUAAAAUAGACUUUUACUUUAUAUGUCUCUGAAUCUACCUCAAACCUGACACGAAGAGCCCACCGUACCACAGAGAUUAAAUGUUGAGUUACUCUGUUUUAGGGGAUUAGAAAGUAUUAAAAGGACAGAUUCUCCAAAGUUGUUAUCUGUAUUCAGCCCUGACUUGUCUUAUAGAAGCAACCGGGUUGCCUAAGAGAAAUAAAGAAGAAACCACUCUACCCAAUUCAACCAACAUAGGACUUCCUUUUUUCUAAAAAAUAAAAAUGGAAAGGUCACAAGGCCAUAAGCUGUGGCCAUGGACAUUCAAGACUUAGAGAAGUCUAAAUCAAUGCCCCCAAAUAAAAAUCAUCCAACACCUUAAGAGAUUUGGAUGAAAAUGAAAACCAUUCAUCAAUAAUGAAUGCUAAAUCCAAAUCCGGAAUACAUACAAGAUACGAUACACACGUCUUGUUGCCUGGAUGGAAAGCAUCAGAACUAGCAGCUAGCCAUCACACCUCUGGAAAGACUUGUGAGUGUUUCAGAAAGCCUGCCUUCCGGCACAGUUACAGCUGGCUCACUGGGAGGAGACCAAUCGAUCACACACGUUUACAGUGUAUUCAGAAUCUGACCACCUGUAACACCUCCACUGCCACCCCUGGUCCAGGCCCACCACUGUCUCUGCGGCAGCCUCACAGGUCUCCCCACUUCUGCUCUAGCUUCCCUGCUGCCCACAGAGAAGAAUUUGUGGGCUUGUCCACUCCUAGUACCCCAAUGCCUAGAAUUGGGCCUGGCACGCUGUUCCAGAAAUCCCUGAUGAAUGAAUGAAUUUCACAGGAUGCAAACGAAGGCCCACACCUGACUGCUGCAGACUCCACGAGGAAUUCACAACGCUUCAAAAGCAUUUAUGCAGUGUUAGCCUGUAUGCUGCACAUACUACCGACAGACUGUCCCAUCCUCCAGAAACAAAAUUAAGUGAUCCUAAAGCAGGCAAGGGAACUGAGUUUAAAGAAAAGAAAGAACAAAAUCCCACUGAAGUAGGUAGCAGCAAGGGAUGGGGGCAACCUGGAGUGCAGCCAGGCAGCUUCCCUUCUACAGCAUUCACUGGAAGACUCAUGCUACAUAUCACUUCGAGCUCCAUCUGGGCAGAGGACACGGGUGCCAGCUUGGGUGAAUCUUCAUCUUUGCAUGAUCACCUCCCACCAUUCCAAAGGUGAAAGCCAGGCCACUGCCAUUAUCUUUCCACAGCUUCUCAAACCAGAGCCAGGGCCCACCCUGUUCCCAGUUUGUUUCCAGAUUCCAAGACUGACUACCUGCUUGUCAGGUUGUGUGUGAGAAACAUUAACAAUGUUCACAUUACCAUUUGAUGCUAUCUGGGUUUAUGACAUCUCAGAAAGUCUUUCUGUUGACAGACAUAUGUUUUAAACAAUGGAAAUUCUUUCCAGGAACAUAGUCCUUCAGAAUAUAUCCGGACUGGACCACCUGGACCACAUCCACUGCUACCACACGUUGCAAGCCCCUGAUUAGUACAACAGCCUCCUAAUGGGUCUCUCCACCCUUGUCUCACUUCACCCCACAGAGAAGCCAGAAUGAUCCUAUUAAAAUUCUAAGGCACCUCCUA